AACGAACGCUGGCGGCAUGCCUAACACAUGCAAGUCGAACGAGACCUUCGGGUCUAGUGGCGCACGGGUGCGUAACGCGUGGGAACCUGCCCUUAGGUUCGGAAUAACUCCCCGAAAGGGGUGCUAAUACCGGAUAAUGUCUUCGGACCAAAGAUUUAUCGCCUUUGGAUGGGCCCGCGUUGGAUUAGCUCGUUGGUAGGGUAAAAGCCUACCAAGGCGACGAUCCAUAGCUGGGCUGAGAGGAUGAUCAGCCACACUGGGACUGAGACACGGCCCAGACUCCUACGGGAGGCAGCAGUGGGGAAUAGUGGACAAUGGGCGAAAGCCUGAUCCAGCAAUGCCGCGUGAGUGAUGAAGGCCUUAGGGUUGUAAAGCUCUUUUACCCGGGAUGAUAAUGACAGUACCGGGAGAAUAAGCUCCGGCUAACUCCGUG
rnacentral:rRNA from 1 species